CGCCUGCCAGCCCGCUCAGAACUUAAGGAAGUUGACGGGCCGCACAAGCGGAGGAGCAUGUGGUUAAUUCGAUGAUACGCGAGGAACCUUACCUGGGCUCGAACGUAAGAUGACUGUAGGUGAAAGCUUACAUCUCUUCGGAGCAUUUUACGAGGUGCUGCAUGGUUGUCGUCAGCUCGUGCCGUGAGGUGUCGGGUUAAGUCCCAUAACGAGCGCAACCCCUACCUUAGUUGCCAUCAGGUUAAGCUGGGGACUCUAAAGGAACUGCCUACGCAAGUAGUGAGGAAGGCGGGGAUGACGUCAAAUCAGCACGGCCCUUACGUCCAGGGCUACACACGUGCUACAAUGGCCGAUACAGAGGGCAGCUACCUGGUGACAGGAUGCAAAUCUCCAAAGUCGGUCUCAGUUCGGAUCGGAGUCUGCAACCCGACUCCGUGAAGUUGGAUUCGCUAGUAAUCGCGCAUCAGCCAUGGCGCGGUGAAUACGUUCCCGGGCCUU
rnacentral:rRNA from 1 species